GCCACCAUAGCUCAAUCCGAUUUGGGGGAAAUUGGCAGAGCAUCUGUUUUGUAAACAGAAGGUUGGGGGUUCAAGUCCCUCUGGUGGCU
rnacentral:tRNA from 1 species